GAUGAAGAACGCAGCGAAAUGCGAUAAGUAGUGUGAAUUGCAGAAUUCAGUGAAUCAUCGAAUCUUUGAACGCACAUUGCGCCCCUUGGUAUCCCGAGGGGCAUGCCUGUUCGAGCGUCAUUUCACCACUCAAGCCUGGCUUGGUGUUGGGCGACGUCCUCUUUGGGGACGCGCCUCAAAACGCUCGGCGGCGUGGCACCGGCUUUAAGCGUAGCAGAAUCUUUCGCUUUGGAAGUCGGGGCCCCGUCUGCCGGAAGACCUGCUCGCAAGGUUGACCUCGGAUCAGGCAGGGAUACCCGCUGAACUUAAGCAUAUCAAUAAGCGGAGGA
rnacentral:misc_RNA from 1 species